UACGUAGGGUGCAAGCGUUGUCCGGAAUUAUUGGGCGUAAAGAGCUCGUAGGCGGUUUGUCGCGUCUGCUGUGAAAACUCGGGGCUUAACUCCGGGCCUGCAGUGGGUACGGGCAGACUAGAGUGCGGUAGGGGAGAGUGGAAUUCCCGGUGUAGCGGUGAAAUGCGCAGAUAUCGGGAAGAACACCCGUGGCGAAGGCGGCUCUCUGGGACGGUACUGACGCUGAGACGCGAAAGCGUGGGGGAGCGAACAGG
rnacentral:rRNA from 1 species